CGAGGUAUGAUGCAGUCUGGCAGCAUAGCUGUUUUGGGAACAGAAUGUCGCAGUUCAAAUCCUGCUACCUCGA
rnacentral:tRNA from 1 species